GGACUACCCGGGUAUCUAAUCCUGUUUGCUCCCCACGCUGUCGUGCCUCAGCGUCAGCAACGGCCCAGCAGAACGCCUUCGCCACUGGUAUUCUUCCCGAUAUCUACGCAUUCCACCGCUACACCGGGAAUUCCAUCUGCCCCUACCGUGCUCAAGUCCAGCAGUCGUGCCGGCAGCCCCGGAGUUGAGCCCCGGGAUUUCACCAGCAACUUACUGAACCGCCUACGCACCCUUUACGCCCAGUGAUUCCGGACAACGCUCGCACCCUCCGUAUUACCGCGGCGGCUGGCAC
rnacentral:rRNA from 1 species